rnacentral:rRNA from 1 species
GACGAACCAUGCAAACGUUAUUCGGAUUCACUGGGCUUAAAGCGUGCGUAGGCGGUCUUGUUAGUCAGGUGUGAAAGCCCUCAGCCUAACUGAGGAAUUGCGCUUGAUACUGCAUGACUAGAGAAUGAUAGAGGUGGGUGGAACUGAUGGUGGAGCGGUGAAAUGCGUUGAUAUCAGGAGGAACACCGGUGGUGUAGACGGCUCUCUGGACCGUAACUGACGCUGAGACACGAAAGCGUGGGUAGCAAACAGG